rnacentral:rRNA from 2 species
CCUACGGGAGGCAGCAGUAGGGAAUCUUCCACAAUGGACGAAAGUCUGAUGGAGCAACGCCGCGUGAGUGAAGAAGGGUUUCGGCUCGUAAAACUCUGUUGUUAAAGAAGAACAUAUCUGAGAGUAACUGUUCAGGUAUUGACGGUAUUUAACCAGAAAGCCACGGCUAACUACGUGCCAGCAGCCGCGGUAAU